AUGGAAGAAGCUCCCGUGACCGCGGCCACGGGGGCUUUGGGACCCGUCGUAGCCAAGCUGGGUGAUUUGCUGGGCCGCGAGUACAAGCUUCGGCGCCCGACGCGCAAGGACGUCAAGUUCAUCAAAUCCAAGCUCAAGUCUGUGCACUGCAUCCUUUGGGAGAUAUGGGACAAGGAGAUUCUUGAUUGGGAAUCCAAGGUCUUGAAGAAGGAAGCGCUGGAUCUCGCCGAUGAUAUGCAGGACGCUGUCGACGACUUCAUCCUCACCAUGGAGCCCAGUUGCAGAAACAAGAACUUGAUGGUGCAGAGAAAGAUCAAAGCCAGCUGCCCUUUCCAAGAUCUGAAGAAGAGGGUAGAUGACGUGUCGGGCCGGUGCCGCAGCAAGUGGAAGUGGGAGAACAACAAGUCUGUUGAACCCUUCUCCAGCUUAUUUUCAAGAAUGAACGCCAAAUCCAGCGCCCCCAGCAAACAGCCUCCUCGAGGUCCAUUUGUCCACAAGGAUGAGUCAGAGUUAGUUGGUCUGCAGUUCUCGGGGUACGAACUCUUCACAUACCUGGUAGAUGAAAAACCGCAGCUAAAAAUGGCAUCCAUUGUUGGAAUGGCUGGGAUGGGCAAAACAACCCUUGCCCACCUUGUUUAUGGGGACAAGGAGAUUGGAAAUAAGUUCCAGUGCCGAGCUUUUGUGUCCGUCACUCCAACUCCCGACAUGAAGGAGGCUCUCACAAGUAUUCUCCAACAACUAGAAGCUGAACCACCUGCUGGCACCCAAGCAAGAACAGCAGAACAAAUCAUCCACACCAUAUCCAGUUUCCUAGAGGACAAAAGGUACCUGGUAAUAAUUGAUGACAUAUGGCAUCGUGCAGAAUGGGACAUCAUCAGGAGGGCUUUCCCAGAAAAUAAUCUUGGCAGUAGAAUUAUCAUCACAACUCGUAUUGAUUCUGUACCAGGAGAUGAUUUGGAUAAUAGCAAGCUCUACAUCAGAAUGAAUCCUAGAUGGGGUUCUGAAAAGGAUAGAUGGGUCUACGGAGAUGAUAGAAGAUGGCUCUACAGCCAUGAUGAGGAAGAGGAAGAUGUCGUUGCUCGGAUGAAGCCUGACAUUGUUCGAGAAGGUUUUGACUGUGACCAUCCUAUUGUGUGCAUGUGUAAUGGUGUUCCGUUAGCACUAAUUUGCAUGUUCUCAGCAAUGGCAAUGGUCCUCCAAGAGCAACAAGAACGACUAGGGGAAAAUGUAAAGGCAUGUGAUGUGCAAGAUAAGAUUUUCAAACAAGUUAAGGAAAACGGAAUUCAGAACACUCCAGGGUUUGAACCGUUGGUAGAGAGUUUGCAGCUUGGCUACACCGAUCUUCCUCACCAUAUGUUGAAGACCUGCUUGUUGUACUGCAGUGUAUACCCUCAGAAUUACCCUUUUCACAUGAAUGAUUUGGUCAUGAGAUGGGUCGCUGAAGGAUUUAUUUAUAAAGAGGAUACAGGAAAAGAUUAUUUCAAAGAGCUUUGCAACAGGGGAUUUAUGCUGUAUGUGGAGAGUCCGUAUGGCAUGCCCUGCUACAAAAUGAAUCCGAUGAUGCGGAAUUUCCUUAGAUGGAAAUCACAUGAAGAUAGUUUCAUUACUUGCAGUUCUGACAUCACACCGCCAUAUGCAUGUCCAAUCCAUCGGCUAUGUAUUGAUGAUUAUCUAGUUGAUGACAGUGCGGUGGAGGUGGUGGAUACCUUGUUGGAACUGGAUUGGUCCCAGAUUCGAUCUCUUGUUUUUUAUAAGGUGCUAAGGGAUAUGUCCCUUUUGAGAAGUUGGAACGUGUGCGGGUGUUGGAUCUUCAAUAUCAUCAUCAUCAUCUUGAAUUCGAAAAGUCUCGUCGUGAUCCAUUUGAGUAUUUUGGAUUCGAGGCCCUUGGAAAUCAGCAUGUGA
rnacentral:rRNA from 1 species